GAAAGCUGAGCAUACCCAGAAGCAUUCAGACAAGCAAAAGAUAGGUCAAAUAUUUCGCCAUCCUUCAUGUUAUUAGUUCAUGCAUAUGCGUGUUCGUGCAAGAUCAGCAUUUCCGAGAAAGCUGUCACUUCCGCUGACUUGUGAGGCGACAGAACAUGCAUUCAAAUAAGCCCCUCAGGUGAUUCUCCAGGCUUUCCUAGUUCCACUCCCAAAGGAGUGUUCCUUCAGCCUGGCAUGGAGGCAGUGGGAGGCUCCACACAUGAUGCAGCAGGGCAGCUGCAGCUGAGGGACGCUGAACCACAGUGCAGACGGGAGCAGUUCCUUGGAUCAAAGCAAGCACUGGGUGGGAAGAUUCAUCUUCAAUCUGGCCCACACCUUCUGGUGGAAGCCUAUAUAAAGGACAUGGAAGAAGAAAAAUUUUUGCUCUUUGCCUGCUUGAUCUGGAUCUCACUGGCAAGUUCAUUCCUUCACUGGAAUUAGAGUCUACUUUGUUGGAAUUCCUGCAUAUACUGAAGACCAGCUGAGAUGCCUAUCCUUAUGGACUGAGCAACUACAAGAUUCUUGGACUUUGCAUUGGUAGAUAGCCA